UAUGUAUAUUAAACAGUAUCAAGGAUAUUUAUAGUACAGAGAGAUAGAGAGAGAGGUUGCAUGGGGUCGUGGUCAUUUCCGCUGGAAGUGAGAACCCAGCUGUUAGGGUAGAGCCUGCACCAAUCUUUUGUCUUUUUUAGCGCUGGCUUUGCGCUCUUUUUUACUCUUCUUAUAACUCUGCCAUACCAUGUCAUUCUCACUCAAAAUCACCACCACCAAUCCCCAUCUCUCUCUCUCCCUCUCCCUCUCACUCUCUCUUAAUGGUCGGCGACACACUUGGGGGGAGACACACACUCUUCCUCAGAGUUGAAGAUCAUGAUAUGUGAAGAUGGGGAAGCCUUGUUCUUUUGAGGGGAAUGUUGUCUGGCUCGAGGACAAUUUGUUUGAUCCUUUUUUUGUUACCUGUAGUCAAUCUAAAUAUACGGCUACCAUAGCUGAUAACUCGUGAUAAUAUGUGGAUCAUGUUUAGUGUCGUCGGACCAGGCUUCAUUCCCCCCAAUUUUAUGCUUCCAUGGAUCUAUGCCAGGGCUUUGAUCAUGGGCUACAUGCAAAGGUCUGUCUUCUUUCCUUUUUCUUUCUUUAAUAUACUGUAGUGGGUAAAGUUUAGGGAAUCAUUGGCAUCAUGGGUUUUUGUUUCUAGAGCGAUUACGGAUGUUAUUUAUGUGCAGAUUGGUGUAAUGAUGGAGUAUUUUGACUAUCUGUUUGCAUCGUUACUCUUUUUUAUUUCCUUCUUCUGAUCACGUUAUGAUGUUCUUGUCAGUCUAAGCCCUUUUAUCGGAUCGAUCAUUACAAAGAUUUUCCUCGUGAUGCCUUUCAGUAUCUGAUCUGUCUGUUUCUGCUAUUUUCUUUUUCAGAUCUGGUUUUGAAAUUUGCUAAACAUUCCCCUCCUUUUCUCUCUCCUAGGGUUUUAUUGUUAAUUAGAUUUUGACACUGAUCUCAAAAUCAUUCCAAAAUAAAUCUGUCGUAAAAGGCAUGAUAAGCUAUCAUAUGUACAAACUGAAAAAGCAAGCUGCUUAUGAUACCCUUCCCUGUCGAUGUUUAAAUUGUCCAUUUUCUUAUUUGUUGAAUAAAUAUCGUUGGAAGGUUAGGCAUUCCUAGAUAGUUAUGAGUAAUUUUUAGAUAUAUGUUCAAGACUAUUUUAUCUCCGGAGGUAAAUAACUUAUAUGGAGAGCUUUGUAUUCUCCGCCCGGCCCUUUGAUUUUACACUUGCGCUUUUGAUGAAAGAAAAACAAUGGCCUUUACAGAGUGCAAGUAAGAUACAACAAAUUCAGCAGUAUCUAGGGCUUUGGUUCGUGUUUAAGCUUGACAGGGUCAUGAUUUGUGCAGAUUACUCCUUAAUUAAUUUUGUGUUGUUGUGCAUCUUCCUUACAUCUUAUGAUAUUCCCCUUUCUCUGUACAUGUAUCAUUUGUAAUUUUGCAAAGCCUGCAUGUGUAACGUGUUGAUUUAUGCGUAUAUAUGCUGGUAAUGUGCUUGUGAGAGAAUGAGUUUUGAAGAAAGCUAGCAACUUGCCUUGGUCUUGAAACAUUGGUCAUUCUUAAAAAAUGUCACAUUCCUCCUUAUCCUUCUGUGAUUCUAUCCUUUUGAAUCAUGUUUUCCUUCUGAUUUUUGAGCACUAAAGCAUCACUAGAUUCUGAAAGUAGUAGAAGAACAAAAAUGAAAAGCAAGUCUUUCAGCAUUAAGCAGGUGGAACAUGCCUCUAAAAACAUAGGAAAAAGAAAUUGAUUUGUGCCAAUUCGAAGUCAAAAGGCCAGAGAUCAGCAAUUACAGGUUACUUGAGGUGGAAACACAUACAGAUUAACUGCUCAUUAUAAUUUACAUGAAACGUCUGAUGUGUCCAUUGUUAUUUUUCAUCGCACUCUGAUAAAUUUUGCAAGAAAUUAGUAUUUCCUCGAGAUCGAGAGUCGUGAUCAUGAUACUGGAAAUGUAUUGGACUUACCAAUUUCUAGAGCCCAUUGUACGAUUUGUAUGGGUUUAUGCUUCGGUAAGAAAUUGCGGCCCUUUUAACUAUAUAUAUAUAUAUAUAUAUAUGGAAAUGUU